AUUGAACGCUGGCGGCAUGCUUUACACAUGCAAGUCGAACGGUAACAGGCCGCAAGGUGCUGACGAGUGGCGAACGGGUGAGUAAUGCAUCGGAACGUGCCCAGUCGUGGGGGAUAACGCAGCGAAAGCUGCGCUAAUACCGCAUACGAUCUGUGGAUGAAAGCGGGGGACCGUAAGGCCUCGCGCGAUUGGAGCGGCCGAUGUCAGAUUAGGUAGUUGGUGGGGUAAAGGCUCACCAAGCCGACGAUCUGUAGCUGGUCUGAGAGGACGACCAGCCACACUGGGACUGAGACACGGCCCAGACUCCUACGGGAGGCAGCAGUGGGGAAUUUUGGACAAUGGGCGCAAGCCUGAUCCAGCAAUGCCGCGUGCAGGAAGAAGGCCUUCGGGUUGUAAACUGCUUUUGUACGGAACGAAACGGCUCUGGUUACUACCUGGGGCUAAUGACGGUACCGUAAGAAUAAGCACCGGCUAACUACAUGCCAGCCGCCGCAGUAAUAC
rnacentral:rRNA from 1 species